GCAACAGUCCUAACAUUCACCUCUCGUGUGUUUGUGUCUGUUCGCCAUCCCGUCUCCGCUCGUCACUUAUCCUUCACUUUCCAGAGGGUCCCCCCGCAGACCCCGGUGACCCUCAGGUCAGCCGACUGCGGCAGCUGGCGCCCGAACAGGGACCCUCGGAUAAGUGACCCUUGUCUCUAUUUCUACUAUUUGGUGUUCGUCUUGUAUUGUCUCUUUCUUGUCUGGCUAUCAUCACAAGAGCGGAACGGACUCACCAUAGGGAGCUGCAGUCCCGCCUACGGAGGAGAGGAUGCCGAAUCACCAAUUUGGGUCCCUGACCGAUUCAUCCGACCUUUCACUGAACGGAAGGGAUCGACGCCCACGCCUAGCGCUGCGGAGAAAACGCCGCCGCGAGAUGAGAAAGAUCACCAAGAAAGUCCGGAAAAUGACCCUAGACCCCAUCAAAGAAAAGACGGCUUGGCAACAACUGCAGGCGUUGAUCUCCGAAGCGGAGGAGGUUCUUAAAACCUCACAAACUCCCCAAACCUCUCUGACCUUAUUUCUUGCUUUGUUGUCUGUCCUCGGCCCCCUGCCUGUGACCGGGGAAAGUUAUUGGGCUUACCUACCUAAACCACCUAUUCUCCAUCCCGUGGGAUGGGGAAGUACAGACCCCAUUAGAGUUCUGACAAAUCAAACCAUGUAUUUGGGUGGUUCGCCUGACUUUCACGGGUUUAGAAACAUGUCUGGUAAUGUACAUUUUGAGGGGAAGUCUGAUACGCUCCCCAUUUGCUUUUCCUUCUCCUUUUCUACCCCCACGGGCUGCUUUCAAGUAGAUAAGCAAGUAUUUCUUUCUGAUACACCCACGGUUGAUAAUAAUAAACCUGGGGGAAAGGGUGAUAAAAGGCGUAUGUGGGAACUUUGGUUGACUACCUUGGGGAACUCGGGGGCCAAUACAAAACUGGUCCCUAUAAAAAAGAAGUUGCCCCCCAAAUAUCCUCACUGCCAGAUCGCCUUUAAGAAGGACGCCUUCUGGGAGGGAGACGAGUCUGCUCCUCCACGGUGGUUGCCUUGCGCCUUCCCUGACCAGGGGGUGAGUUUUUCUCCAAAAGGGGCCCUUGGGUUACUUUGGGAUUUCUCCCUUCCCUCGCCUAGUGUAGAUCAGUCAGAUCAGAUUAAAAACAAAAAGGAUCUAUUUGGAAAUUAUACUCCCCCUGUCAAUAAAGAGGUUCAUCGAUGGUAUGAAGCAGGAUGGGUAGAACCUACUUGGUUCUGGGAAAAUUCUCCUAAAGAUCCCAAUGAUAGAGAUUUUACUGCUCUAGUUCCCCAUACAGAAUUGUUUCGCUUAGUUGCAGCCUCAAGACAUCUUAUUCUCAAAAAGCCAGGAUUUCAAGAACAUGAGAUGAUUCCUACAUCUGCCUGUGUUACUUACCCUUAUGCCAUAUUAUUAGGAUUACCUCAGCUAAUAGAUAUAGAGAAAAGAGGAUCUACUUUUCAUAUUUCCUGUUCUUCUUGUAGAUUGACUAAUUGUUUAGAUUCUUCUGCCUACGACUAUGCAGCGAUCAUAGUCAAGAGGCCGCCAUAUGUGCUGCUACCUGUAGAUAUUGGUGAUGAACCAUGGUUUGAUGAUUCUGCCAUUCAAACCUUUAGGUAUGCCACAGAUUUAAUUCGAGCUAAGCGAUUCGUCGCUGCCAUUAUUCUGGGCAUAUCUGCUUUAAUUGCUAUUAUCACUUCCUUUGCUGUAGCUACUACUGCCUUAGUUAAGGAGAUGCAAACUGCUACGUUUGUUAAUAAUCUUCAUAGAAAUGUUACAUUAGCCUUAUCUGAACAAAGAAUAAUAGACUUAAAAUUGAAAGCUAGACUUAAUGCUUUAGAAGAAGUAGUUUUAGAGUUGGGACAAGAUGUGGCAAACUUAAAGACCAGAAUGUCCACUAGGUGUCAUGCAAAUUAUGAUUUUAUCUGUGUCACACCUUUGCCAUAUAAUGCUUCUGAGAGCUGGGAAAGAACCAGAGCUCAUUUAUUGGGCAUUUGGAAUGACAAUGAGAUUUCAUAUAACAUACAGGAGUUAACCAAUCUGAUUAGUGAUAUGAGCAAACAACAUAUUGACGCAGUGGACCUCAGUGGCUUGGCUCAGUCCUUUGCCAAUGGAGUAAAGGCUUUAAAUCCAUUGGAUUAGACACAAUAUUUCAUUUUUAUAGGAGUUGGAGCCCUGCUUUUGGUCAUAGUACUUAUGAUUUUCCCCGUUAUUUUCCAGUGCUUUGCGAAGAGCCUUGACCAAGUGCAGUCAGAUCUUAACGUGCUUCUUUUAAAAAAGAAAAAAGGGGGAAAUGCCGCGCCUGCAGCAGAAAUGGUUGAACUCCCGAGAGUGUCCUACACUUAGGAGAGAAGCAGCCAAGGGGUUGUUUCCCACCAAGGACGACCCGUCUGCGUGCACGCGGAUGAGCCCAUCAGACAAAGACAUACUCAUUCUCUGCUGCAAACUUGGCAUAGCUCUGCUUUGCCUGGGGCUAUUGGGGGAAGUUGCGGUUCGUGCUCGCAGGGCUCUCACCCUUGAUUCUUUUAAUAACUCUUCUGUGCAAGAUUACAAUCUAAACAAUUCGGAGAACUCGACCUUCCUCCUGGGGCAAGGACCACAGCCAACUUCCUCUUACAAGCCACACCGACUUUGUCCUUCAGAAAUAGAAAUAAGAAUGCUUGCUAAAAAUUAUAUUUUUACCAAUAAGACCAAUCCAAUAGGUCGAUUAUUAAUCAUGAUGUUAAGAAAUGAAUCUUUGUCUUUUAGCACUAUAUUUACUCAAAUUCAAAGGUUAGAAAUGGGAAUAGAAAAUAGAAAGAGACGCUCAACCUCAGUUGAAGAACAGGUGCAAGGACUAAGGGCCUCAGGCCUAGAAGUAAAAAGGGGAAAGAGGAGUACGCUUGUCAAAAUAGGAGACAGGUGGUGGCAACCAGGGACUUAUAGGGGACCUUACAUCUACAGACCAACAGACGCCCCGCUACCAUAUACAGGAAGAUACGAUUUAAAUUUUGAUAGGUGGGUCACAGUCAACGGCUAUAAAGUGUUGUACAGAUCCCUCCCCUUUCGUGAAAGACUCGCCAGAGCUAGACCUCCUUGGUGUGUGUUAACUCAGGAAGAAAAAGACGACAUAAAACAACAGGUACAUGAUUAUAUUUAUCUAGGAACUGGAAUGAACGUUUGGGGAAAGAUUUUUCAUUAUACCCAACCUUGCGGUUCCCAAGGUUUAAGUAAGUUCAGGGUCACAAACUGUUCUUAAAACAAGGAUGUGAGACAAGUGGUUUCCUGACUUGGUUUGGUAUCAAAUGUUUUGAUCUAAGCUCUGAGUGUUCUAUUGUUCUUUUGGAACUUAUCCAAGUCUUAUGUAAAUGCUUAUGUAAACCAUGAUAUAAAAGAGUGCUGAUUUUUUGAGUAAACUUGCAACAGUCCU
rnacentral:lncRNA from 1 species